GCGUGAGUGAUGAAGGCCCUAGGGUUGUAAAACUCUUUCGCGCACGACGAUAAUGACGGUAGUGCGAGAAGAAGCUCCGGCUAACUUCGUGCCAGCAGCCGCGGUAAUACGAAGGGGGCUAGCGUUGUUCGGAAUUACUGGGCGUAAAGCGCGCGCAGGCGGCUCUUUAAGUCAGGGGUGAAAGCCCAGAGCUCAACUCUGGAAUUGCCUUUGAAACUAAAGAGCUUGGGUACGGGAGAGGUGAGUGGAAUUCCGAGUGUAGAGGUGAAAUUCGU
rnacentral:rRNA from 1 species